UACAGAGGGUGCGAGCGUUUGUCCGGAAUCACUGGGCGUAAAGGGCGCGUAGGUGGUGGCUUAAGCGUGCGGUGAAAGCUCGGGGCUCAACUCCGAGUCGGCCGUGCGAACUGGGCUCACUGGAGCAUAGUAGAGGCAGGUGGAAUUCCGGGUGUAGCGGUGGAAUGCGUAGAGAUCCGGAAGAACACCGGUGGCGAAGGCGGCCUGCUGGGCUAUGGCUGACACUGAGGCGCGACAGCGUGGGGGAGCAAACAGGG
rnacentral:rRNA from 1 species